UGCUUUUCCUCCACUCGUCUCUCCUCCCCCUUUCACACAUCCUCAACUCUUUUCCCACAGGCACAAGUCACCAGUGGAGAAAGCCAGGAACAAGGUUCCUCCAGGUCCAUGCGGUCUAUGAAGACAAACACAAUGGAGUGAGAGAGAAAGGAAGAGAGGAUGAGUAUACAGUGACACAUUUCUAAUCCCCAAUCAGUCCUGCCCUGUUGCUUCUAGGUCCCAAACUGUCCCAUCAGUCUUUCUCCUGUUGUUCCUGAGCCCUACCAGGAUAUCUCUCCUGCUCUGAGCCCUAUGCCUUCUCCUGUUCAGCAAGGGGCUUUCUCUGGUAAAUCCAUCCAGCCAGAUCACUAUCUCAACACCAGUAUUUAGGGGCUCCUCAGCUCCCUCUAGCUCUUCUCCCUUUUUAUGUCCUAUGUUCGAGGCUGCUAGGAAGUUUUACAGGAUCUAAGUCUGUGUCUGGGGCCAAGGACAACAAUUUCAAAAGAAGAGACCACCAAGACCUCCCACCUGGCCAGAGAUCAGGUGUGGAAUAUGGUGGGAAAGGAGCCUGAGCAGACGCCAGGGGGCGCCUCCGCACCUCCACAGAUGAGGCAGAUUGCGCUAAGCAGUCCUGUCUCGGUGUCAUCCAUCUCCAGUGGCAGGAGCUGCCCAGCAAAGGCAAAGACGAGGUCUGUGAGGGGCCCAAAGCCAGCGUUGUGCAUUUGGGUCCGGUUCAGGGUCAGCCCAUCAGAGAAGGUCAUGGUGUCCUGCUCCGGGGUGUACCUUGUGCAGAUUCGUAGCAUCUGCAGGUGGGGGCAGAAGGAGAGUUAGUGCUGUAGCAAAAGUGGAUGGGUGGGGGCGGGGGGUUCAUACAGGACAGGGAAAGAGGGAAUGAAUGGAAAAUGAAGAAGUUAGAUCCUCAACAAAUGCAACCUGAAACAGGCAUGGGAAGGAAAGCAGAGAGGAGGAGGAUCUGAGGGAGCCCCCCAGAAGGCAGGAGAAGGCAGAGCAUCCAGAAAUCUAGGAAUAGGUCCUAGGGGCAGGGCCUAAGACAAAAAGAGCUUGGGUUGCCAGGUAUGGUGACACAUGUCUUUAAUUCCAGGGAAUCAGGAUACUGAGGCAGGGGGAUCACAAGUUCAAGGCCAACAAGGCAAUGUGACAAGAUCGUAUCUCAAAAUAAAAAUCUACUACUAUAGUUCAGUAGUAGAUUGCUUAUGUAGCAUGUGCAAGGCCCCAAGUCAAGUAAAGGAAAGCGUGAGCUUGGGUAGAGGAGAUGUGGGGAGUCCCAAAUGGUUUGGGGGGAGAUAAAGUAAUCUUUUUGAAGCAAGGAAUCAUUGAAAGUUACAUAUAAGGGUCAGGCUAAGGCAAGAACCAUAGGCCUAAAUUACCAGGAUGUCCAGGCAGGCAGCCUUGAGCAGAGUGAUCUGGUCAGCAAUGCUGAGCCCUGUAAAGCCAGGCAACCUCUUGGCAAACUCCACUAUCUUAAUGAUGCACUUGGUGGCCAGCUCACUGAACUUGUCCCACAGCCCCAGAUCCAGCUGCACCCGGUGGUCUGCACUGGAGUUCUGCAUGGGAAGAGAAGGUUAGGAUGCAAAGGCCACCCUGAAAGUUUCCUUCUCUCUGCCAAUACCCCAAGCUCUCUCCUCUGCAUGCUGUAGCCCUCCUUGUCCCUAGUACCAGACCAUGGCCUCCUACACAUCCCUUAACCAUUCCCAAAAGGCACAGUCCCUGCCCUCAUUGGGGCUCUGCUCAUUCCUCACCGUGGUGUACUUGCCCAGCUGGCAGAGUGAGGGGAAGGUCUCCUGAUGGGCUUUGCUGACCUUGGUGAUGAGCUCUUCUAACUGGGGGCUCAGCUCAUAGCUGUCAGGAGACCCUUCUUCCUUGACCUCUUUCUUUUUCUUGUUCCGGUCAUUCCGCACAGCUUAGGGGUGGAGGCACAAGGAGAGGGUCAGAACCAUCAGGGACUCCUUUUAGAUGUCCUCCCUCACCCUAACUUAAUGUACUCAGUCCCUACCAUGAAUAGCUAUUCCCUGGCACCCUAAUUAGUGCCUCAGUUGCCCUAUCUCAUAUGUUAGUUCCUAUUCCCAGGCUGGCUCUCCCCAGCCCCACCCAGGGCCUGCAGCCCCUGCUCUCUCUCCAGGCCAUUCGGCUCCAUCCUGCCCUUCCUGUCACCCUGCAGGAGCUGGGGAGGGGGGGCAGGAUAUGCAGGCGGCAGGAUAUCCACUUAUAGCCUUGGCAGCACAAUGGGGGGGGAUGGAAAGGAGGGGCCACCUCAGAUCCAUCUCAGGUUCAGUCCUGGGAACAGCAGAAAAGAGUGAACCAUCAGAGGGAAGCCCACUCCCCUGCCCCAAGAAGCAGGGAGAAUGUGAAACCCUAAUACCCAUUGACUAAUUCAAAGGAAGGGUUAAGAAGAGAGGAGAAUGGGAAAGGGUAGAACCUCUUGUAAAUGGAGCUAAUCAAAUAGGACUGGUCUGAGAGGAGACAAAGAGGUCAGGGAAGUGGGGGUGGCCAGAGGGAAGACAAGAAACCAGAGGGCAGGACAGGACUGCUUCUGUCCAGACCAGUGAGUGAUAGGAGCCUACCUUCCUUGGACAUGCCCACUUCAAAGCACUUUUGUAGCCUACAGUACUGGCAGCGAUUCCUGGUCACCUUGUUGAUAAUACAGUUUUUGUCACGGUGACAUGUAUACACCAUGUUCUUCUGGAUGCUGCGUCGAAAGAAGCCCUGGAGUUGGGGGGAAAGAAGAUUGUCAAUGAAGCAGGGUGCUGGGAAUACCCCAGGCCUGCCCCAAUCUAUUAACCACCUAUAUGCAAAAUAGCCCCUCUCCCAACACACGCUUACUCACAUACAGCACUUGGGUCCCAGGUAACUAGGGAUCCCCAAUCAGCUCACCCCAUAUGUACACACCUUGCAGCCUUCACAUGAGCUGACCCCAUAGUGGUAGCCAGAGGACUUGUCAUUGCACACGAAGCAGGGCUUGUAGACCCGAGGAGGUGGUGGGGGUGAGGGCGAGCUGGGCACCAUCUCCUCUGAGCUAGUGCUCUGUGUCUCCACCGCUGUGGGGGCAGUGAUGUGAGGGGUCAGGGGAGGCCCCCCAGACCUCCAAGCCUCCCUAUCACCACCACCCCCAUGCCCACUCCUCCUUCUGGCCCACUGGUGAUAGCCAUCACCAACCCAUCCCUGCACAACUCCUCCACAAUAAUGCCAGCCCUAGCCCUACAUGAUGCUGUUCAAUUCUCCAAAUUGUGGGGAGCCAUUCUCACACGUGACUGGGCAACUCCCGGUUUGGGUCUGAGGCACUCUGGCUAAACUGUGUCGGAGCUUUCCCAACCCGUGUGGGGGUGUGACUUGACCACUGACCCUGGGGCCAAUCACUGACCCUGACCUUGGAGUGCAGCCCCCCCUCAACCUUCAUUGGAUGGAAUUCUCCCCUGAAUUUCUUGUUCCCCAAUAAAAGGCUACUCCCUGG